GCUGGUUUCUGGCAUGAUUGCAAUAUUUUCCUCUACUAUGAGUAUCUCAUGUAUCGGAAAGUAAAAACAUUUUUUUACAUGCAGCCUGCUAAAGACCUUACAGAAGUCCGUGUGGCCCACAGUCAGAAAAGUUUGCCCAUCGCUGGCCCAAAAGCUGGCAUCUCUAGACUGAUUGUAUGGAAGCAUUUUGCUUUCCACUCUAGAAGAUCUGGAUUCAAUUUUUGGGCCCCAUUCCUUGGAGGGUUCUUUCAUGAGGAUCUGUGCUUGGCCCAUUGAUUCCUGUCCUGUAUAAUCAGUGUUAUGAAUUUAGGUAAGGAAACAGUGGAAACAUUUAUACAUUGAAUACAAGUUACUUUAAUGUACAAUUAAAAAUGGUAUAGAACUGUAUCUAAUGAUGACUAUCAAAAGACUAACUAACACAGAGAGAGAAGAGACAAAAAAAUAGACAGCAAAUGGAGUU
rnacentral:lncRNA from 1 species